rnacentral:rRNA from 1 species
CCUUGAAAAAAUCAAAGGUGUAACCUGCCCAAUGAUCUUAAACUUAAAAAAUAUAACCAUUUUUAAAAAGAUUUAAAGGACGCAGUAUCCUGACUGUGAUAAUGUAGCAUAAUCAUUCGCCAUUUAAUUGAUGGAUAGUAUGAAUGGUUGAACGAAUUCUUCACUGUCUUAAAAAAAGAAAUAAUGAAAUUUAAAUAAUAGUAAAGAUGCUAUUUAAAAUUGUAAGACGAAAAGACCCUAUAGAGCUUAACUAUAAGUUCUUUUACUUAAAAGAAUAUAAUUCUCAAAAUAAAGAACUUGGUAGUUUAGUUGGGGCGACUAUCUUCUAAUAUUAACGAAGACAAGCAAAAUUAAUAUAUAAUUUAUUGUAUAACCUAUAAGUUUAACAAUUACAAAAGUAGGCAUAAUGACCCGUUUUCAUUUAGUAAUUAAAGAAAACGAUCAAUAAAUAAAAGCUACCUUAGGGAUAACAGGAUAAUUUUGUUUUAGAGAUCCUAUCGAAAACAAAGUUUGUCACCUCUAUGUUGAAUUAAGAUAUCCUAGUAAUGCAGAAGUUACUAAAGGUAGGUCUGUUCGAC